AAUAAUGCUUUGAUAGAAAGAGUAAUUUAUUGAGGGUGUUAUAGAGAGUCGGCGGUGGUGGAAGUCCGAUACCAAUCAGUAAAUGAAGAACAUUCUUGAGCAUCUAACCGAAAUUGAAAAAGAGUAGGCUUAGACGGGGAUAGCCUGAUAUCGACUAUGGAGUAUCGAUUGUAAUACAGUCCGUACUUAUAUUCAAGUGAGCAUAUUGCUAACUAAGGUGGUACCGCGGAAAUUAACCUUUCGUCCUUUAU
rnacentral:ncRNA from 1 species